rnacentral:ncRNA from 1 species
GGUAGACGCUACGGACUUAAAAAAUUUGAGCUUUAGUAAAAAAACUUAUUAAAUGUUAGUUUUCAAAUUCAGGAAAACUUAGGUUGAAAAAAAUAUAAGCAAUCCUGAGCCAAAUGUUUUAUUUUUUACAAAUAAAAAUAGUAAAAAAUAGAAAAAUAGGUGCAGAGACUCAAUGGAAACUAUCCAAAUGCAAAAAAUUUUAACAUUAUUUAAUUAAAGUUUAUAUGUUAAGAGAAAUAAAAAAAUUUAACUAAAUUAUUAUUUAGUUAAAUAAUAAGUGAGGAUAAAGAUAGAGUCCAAUUUUAUAUGUUAAUUUUUUUAGCAACAAUUUAAAUUGUAGUAAAAAGAAAAUCCGUUGGUUCUAUUAACUGUGAGGGUUCAAGUCCCUCUACCCCCAAAAUUAUGCAUUUUUUUAUUGACAUAAUUAUUUAAGUUAGUUAAGAUAGUCAAAAUAGAAAGCCAGAAAAGCCGGAAUAGCUCAGUUGGUAGAGCAGAGGACUGAAAAUCCUCGUGUCAC